CGCGUGGGAAAUCUACCUCCGAAUCGGGGAUAACCCGUCGAAAGGUGAGCUAAUACCGGAUAAUAUCCCAAGAACUCCUGUUUUUGGGAUCAAAGGUGGCCUCUACAUGUAAGCUACUGUUUGGAGAUGAGCCCGCGUACCAUUAGCUUGUUGGUAGGGUAAUGGCCUACCAAGGCCACGAUGGUUAGCUGGUCUGAGAGGAUGAUCAGCCACACUGGAACUGACACACGGUCCAG
rnacentral:rRNA from 1 species